AUUGAACGCUGGCGGCAUGCUUUACACAUGCAAGUCGAACGGUAACAGGCCUUCGGGUGCUGACGAGUGGCGAACGGGUGAGUAAUGCAUCGGAACGUACCCAGAGGUGGGGGAUAACGCAGCGAAAGCUGUGCUAAUACCGCAUGUGAUCUGAGGAUGAAAGCGGGGGACCGAGCAGCAAUGUUUGGCCUCGCGCCUUUGGAGCGGCCGAUGUCGGAUUAGCUAGUUGGUGGGGUAAAGGCCUACCAAGGCGACGAUCCGUAGCUGGUCUGAGAGGACGACCAGGCACAGUGGGACAGAGCGACGGCCGAGCCUCCGCCGGGAGCCAGCAGUGGGCAAUGUUGGACAAUGGGUGCGAGCUUUAUCCAGCCAUGCCGCGUACGGGAAGGAGGCCUUCUAGUUGUAAGUCGCAUUUGGCAUGACCGAAACGGUGUCCGCUAAUACCGGGCGCUAAUGACGGUACCUGCAGAAUAAGCACCGGCUAACUACGUG
rnacentral:rRNA from 1 species